rnacentral:rRNA from 1 species
UACGGAGGUCUCAAGCGUUGUUCGGAUUCAUUGGGCGUAAAGGGUGCGUAGGCGGCGCGGUAAGUCGGGUGUGAAAUCUCGGAGCUUAACUCCGAAACUGCAUUCGAUACUGCCGUGCUUGAGGACUGGAGAGGAGACUGGAAUUUACGGUGUAGCGGUGAAAUGCGUAGAUAUGCGGAGGAACACCGAUGGCGAAGGCAAUCCCCUGGGCCUGCACUGACGCUCAUGCACGAAAGCGUGGGGAGCAAACAGG